CACCUACCUUCAAAACCUCAUUUUAAUGAGAUAUUAUCCGAAUUUGAAGCGUACACGUAACGAAAUGAGCAUUCCCUUGAAAGAUUUCAUUUAUAUAUGACGUCGUUUUUUGCCAUGAGAUAAAUUCGCCAAAUCCUUCGUGAAGUUUCUCGAAAUUUUAUCUUGAUUUUAUUUUUAUACAUUUUCGAAGCUUUAGUGCAUUU
rnacentral:lncRNA from 1 species